CUGAGGUGCCUGCCCACCUGCUGGCCAGUCAGCAGCAGGCUGCUCACUGCUCUCCUGCUCACCUCUUCACCCCCAGAGGUGGAGCGAGCUUGGGGCUUUAGGGGUGGGGAGAAGAGGACAAAUGGGAGCUGGACCUCGGGGUGGAGUGUGGGCAGGGCCAAGGCCUGGGUGCCCUUUCAGCGGCGGCAUGCUCCAAAGGCGGUGGGCUGGUUGUUUGGGGAAGCUUAGCCUCCCCUGGCCUCUUAUACCCACUGCCCAUGGGGGAAAGGAUCUGGCCCUUUGUUUUUAAAUACUUGAAAAAUGUAGAAAACUCUAAGACAUAGGUAGAUUAAAAUUCAGACAGAUUUAGGAUUUGAGGCUGCCAUACAUACACAGAUACAUACUGUAGGAAUAGAUUCAAACUGGUGAACUGUUCAUAUGAAAGACCAACUUCUGUUGGUGAGGGAGACAAGCUUUUGACUACAGAGAGUAAUUCUUCAGGCCUGGGAAAAGUACUAAGCAUGUCACUUCUACCUCCCCUUUUCUCAGGCCUUGCCUACACUUGUAAGGCCUGACCAGGGAAAGGGAUUCUGAGAGCAGGUCUACAGUACAAAUGUACAUUGGUGCAGCUGCAUCGAUGCAGCGUGUUUGGUGAAGAUGCUCCAAACCAUGAAAGGAGUGGCCCAUAGAGUGCUGUCUACAUGGGGGGUUAGGUUGGUAUAACUAUGUCGCUCAGGGGUGUGGAUUUUUCACACCCAUGAGCCACAUAGUUAUACCAAAGUAAGUGUGUAGCCUGAGAGAGGGGCCCAAGCACAGGCUGUGUGCACAGCCUACUACAGUGCUCUUUCACCUAAAAUCAAAGCUUCUUUAGCAUUCAUUAUUAAUAUUACACUUCAUUUAACUUUUGACCAAACAAAGUUAACCAGGCCCAAACUCACAUCUGGCCCAUGUUGCCAACAGGGUCACACUUUCAAACCCACAGUGGUCAACAGCAUUUGAAGUUAGGCAAAAUGAAUUCAUCCAUCUAUAGUUUAUGCCCUCACCCCAAGUUUUGUAAAACUGCCGUGUUAUGAUUCCACAUGAAUUCUGCAAGGAACAUCUGUCCUAUGGCAGUAUGAUACUAAGAGUGUAAAAAUGCCAUUAUUUUACCUUGAACAUAUUUCCACAUUUUUCCACUUUUGAUUACUUUCCUCCAGGUAUUUUUGUUAAUACUAUCCCCUACUAUUCACUCAUUCAGUUGGUAGAUAAUUUCUGUAUCUGUGGCUUGCCUUAGCACACUAUCAUUCCACUGGAACUUUACACACUUUCUUUUGGAGUUAGUGGAGCAGGUAUAUUGUAGAGCCAACUCCUGGUCUACACAUAACACAUGAGAACAAUCUAAGGCCCUUGGCAUGAUAAACUGCUUCAGACAUGUAAACUAUACAGCAUUUUAUUUACAUAAUGUCCAUGAAUGUCAGUCAAAUCAGACUGAAGUGUUAAACUGGUGCAGCAUCAUUAAAGCAGCAAUGAUCUUGUAUCCCUAGACUACGGUAGUGUCCAUUACUUGUGUCUUUGUUUGAGGUAACUGCACCUGUAUUCCCCCUCUGUGGUCCCUUGAGGAAACCCACUGUAGCCUCCCAGUUCCUCAACUCUCCCAUGUCCCUCUCUCCCUCUUGACAAGGGGUUUUUCCAGGUUGCACAGUUCCCUGACCACACUACAGUGCUGAAUUUGUAAUGAAAGGGGUGACAGCACUUAAGCAAGAGGUGCUGGCAACAUAAAGCUCCAGGGAGCUCCAACAAGGACUGUGGUAGGAGUCGGUCCUUCAAAUCCCACAAUGGGUUUUCCUGUGGUUACAAAUUCAUAAGAGUCUUAGUUCAGAAUAAGCAUGCCCAUGAAUAGCUCAGGUGAUCAGGAGACAGCACACUCCUCAGGAUGUACCUUCAAUAAGCUAGGCUUUUAGAUAACCAUGGGUGGGGAGUUUGUCUUUACCUUGCCCUAGAUAUUUUCCAGGAAGUCACACGUAUUGUCCCAAAAGAAGAGUCUUUGUCUGCCAUUUUGUUCAAUAUAGUCCUUUGAUCAUCCAGGCCCAUAAUACACAACUUUUACAUUCAAUGUUUUUUUUCUUAGAUAUGACAGGGACUUCCCAUAUCUGUCUCAACUUGCAUCACUGUCUGGAUAAUUUGACAUAAUGCAAUGAACACAGAAUUGCUGAAAUAAUUUCUUCAGGGUAGAAAUGAACAGUGUAGCCAAUAUUUUAGCAAAUAGUCUUAUUUGUAAACUAAGUAGCUUGUCUUUUUGUAAACACUGUUCCAAAAGAGAAAACAAUACUACAGCUUUUCAUACGUAAAUGUAUUGGUUACCUCCUGAAAGUCUGUUAGUUUUAGAAACGGAAAGAGUUGUUGGAAAUUGAUUUGCAUAAAAUCACUCAUCUUGUAAAGCUGACAUGAAACUUCACUUUACGAAACAAUUCAGGAGAAUAGUGUUAAUGGUGCAAGAAAGCAGAAUGGUUGCAUCUUUGAGCUAAUGUUGAUUUGGAAGAGUUGCUUUCACUAGCAGCCUGGCUGUUCUUAUCCCUUCCCACAUGUCAAAGCUUUGCAGAGUUGUACAUCACCGGGGAAGCAGUUUGAACGUGCUAGAAAAAAUACCAACCAGUAUUUUAUGCUUCCCUGUAAUUUUUUAAACAAUGAGCUCUAGUAAUUUAACUACUACUGAGGAGCUGCUAAUAGACUCAGAUUAAAAACUGGACUUAACAGGUAAGGUAAAUCCCAUUUUUGUUACCAUUUUAAUCAUAAAAUACAUGUGUUUUAUACCAAGGUGGCAUUUGUUUUCUUUCACCAAAGUCUGUGUGAGACAACUGCUAGCCAUUUUCAUUCAGAAGAUGUAAGUAGCAUCUUACUCUGUUAGCUUAAAGCUAGCCUCUGCUGGUGUAUUACAGCAUUGCAGGUAAUCAGCAGUUUUUGCACAAAUAGUGAAGGUCAAAACUUGUAUUUUUGGAGAACAAAGUGAUGCUCUGUUUCUUUAUUUCAUACAGAGGGUGAUCAGCACAAUGGGAAAGCAAAUCACGACGUGACUUUCUACUGGUUUAACUUGUGUAUAAAGAAGAAUUCCACAUUGGUCUAAUGUCAUGCUAACAAGUGCGACAGGCCCUAGCUCAGAAAUGUAGCAGAGGACUCGUGCUUCCUGGGUUGUGGCAUACAACAGUUACAAAAAAAAGCCUAAGUGUUUUACAUCUGUAGGUGGAUGGAAAUAGUCUUUAGAUGCAUUCACUAAUGCAUUAGCAUCAACUCUGUGGCCGGUCGAAGGACUCAGAUGUAGCUUUUUUUUCCCCCUCACUGCGCUCUUUUAAGUCCUUGUUAUGAAGGGACUGUGUGGGGAUUGUGGUUCAUCUGCACGCUAUUGACCAACGUUCUACAAUGCUGCUGCUUCGCCACAGAGGACAACAUGAGUGUGUGGGCACAGAAUCUGUGCCUACAGGGGUCCACUGGCCAAAAUCUCUCAUGGAUGGAGGUAUGGAGAUUUUGGAUGCUACUGUGUCUCUGAGGCUCCAGUAUUCAGUCCUAAGAGUAGUAGUGGCUCUGUACUCCACCUGCUCCCUCUUCCCCCAUGGAAAACACAUUUGGGGAGCCUGUUCAAUUUUCUAGGGGUCAGGAUAUCAGCCUAGGUGACUUAAUAGAAACUGGAGAUUGAAAAUCAGUGCUUCACUGGGGGAAGUGUUUGAUCACGCUUCUGAUUUAGUAGAUUCCAAACAGGAUUGAUUGCAGGCCUUGUAGUGGAGAUGAGAACUAAGAGAAUCUGAAAUGGAAAAAUGAAAUUCUUGUCCUACUUUGCCUUGCCAUUUCAGGUGAAAAGCUUCACUGAUAUUCUUUCUGAUUUUGGAGCCUGUAUUCAAGCUCUGUUGGACAAAUAUGUUUUUGUUCACUUCAGCAUUGCAUGUUAGGGAUGGUUGUUUCUGGUUAAUGAGGCUUUGGCUGAAUAUCUAAGUUUGUUUUAGAACUCUCCAUCUUAGCAGAAUUUAAUUUUAAAAUUCAUUUUUUUUAAAAAGAUGAGCACAGGUCGGGUUAGAUAGUCAUACAAUGAGAGAAUGUCACUAACUGCAGGACUCAGUGCAAAUUAGAUUGUUCAUUACAAGGACUUAACUUUAGCACUUUUAUAGUCCAGAUGGUGUUCAUGCCUAUGCUAAGUGUUGUAAUUUGCUUAGCACAUGAUAAUCUUACCUCCUAAAAUUCCAUAAAGGCAAGGAGACAAGAUUACAGUUAUCAGAUCAAAUGUUUCAUUUGUGCUGGGCUCUAAAUGAGCACUGGUUAUUUUCUUUCAAGUAUCAUUACUUGACUGCACUCAAGUUUAAGAAACUUUAAUAGAAUUUGUAUUAAUUAUUCUUCUUUCAUAACUUAAUUUGGGCACAAUUUCACUUUUUUUUUUUUUAGGAUGUGAUUAGAACACACACACACACGCAAACUACAUCUCACAUGUCUACAAAGGAAAGAUCUAAUUUGUAAACUGAGACUCAAGAUUAGUCCAUGGAUUUUACAUUCACCCAGCUGGAGAUUAAGCCAUCCAAGGCAUUACCAAAUGUAGCACGUCUGUGGGUUUGAUGUGGUAAUAUAAAAUUAUGCUUACAUUUGCUAUUCAAGGUAAUUGAAUCUAAUAACCUAGUGUUAUAUUAAUAAUGAAUCUAUUUGGGCAAUCUCAAUUUAGAGCCAAAAUGAUUUUUGUUUACUUUUGGAAAUUAAAUUCAGUGCAUUUAAUUAUCAUAAGAAUUUGUUUUAAUUCCUCUUUAUUCAUUGGUCUGAUUCUGCAGAUGAAAUUACUAAAAGGAUCUUCUGCAUUAUUAUAAUUCUCAAUAUAAUUAAAUAUCAAUCAGUAUUAUCAAAAAUAAAUAUUAGCCAGUGUGUGCAGUUUUAAAACAAAAGUAAUCUGUGAGGUAUAAAGGAAGGCAAUACCUAUACAAUACCCUGCUGCUUAAAACUUUACGGCUUAACAUUAGUUUCCACAGAGUAAUGUAUUUGAAAGUAAUUAAAAUUGAUUCCUCUGGAAAUGAAUGUACAAUGUAUGUAUGUUAGUACAAAAUUACUUGCAUUUUCAGUCGUGUAGUCUGUGGGCCUGAUUCUGGUCACACUGGUAUAAUGCCACUUGAUUCAAUGGAGUUAUUUCUAAUAUACCUCUGUCGUUCAAAGUUGCCUUGGGUGUGUCCAAAAACUGUGCAUAAUAAAGAAUGUAUCAGUUAUGAGUUGUUUGAAGAGCUGUAGCUCUGUCAGACACAUUUGAGGUGAGAGCACUACUAGCAAUGUUAACUUGCAGCUCUCUAAGUGGCAGAACCUCCGCAGGUAUAAAUUUUUAUAGUCCCAUUGAUGUCAGUGGAGAUAACACCAUUUAUACUAGCUGAGGCUCUUUAAGACUCUCUCUUCAAAUUUCUAACAGGCAGUUUCUCCUCUGUCCAAACAGCCACUCCCUUUAUAAAAUGCUUUACAAUGUGUGUUCAGCAUACCAGUUAACGAUAUAACCUUAACGUGCGUCUCAAAUGGCAGUACGUACCUGACUCUCUGAUGAAUCAAUUCUGUAUGAUUAAAAAAAAAGUUUAAUUCACUUGAAAUUUUAGAAACUGUUUGAGGGUAGACAAGCUUUAGAGUGUUUUACUCGCUCAGAUGUUUGUUCAGCAAGUGAGGUAAUUUCAUGAAGCAGCACUCCUGUACAGUAGCUAUACUGUGGUACUGCUAUUGAACGUGAACACAGACUUACCGCCCCCGAUGGAGCAACAGCCCUGACCGCUGUAUAUGCCUAUGAGGUGCAUGGAGAGCCAACCCCAGUGAAUAUGGAGCUUGAGUAAACAUUAUUAAGGUAAAACUUAGAACAGGGGUUGUCAAUAGGUGGACUGCAGGCCAAAUCUUGUCCACCAGAUGCUUUUGAAUGAACCCCGAAAUCUUUUUAUUUACUUAUCAUUAUUGUUAUUUUUUAAAUUAUUUUCUCUGGAGUCUGAACCUUGACCAAGAAAAUUUGGACCAUGACAAAAGAAAUAGACUACCCCUGUCUUAGAACAUUGGUCGGUCUUUUACUAACAUGUAUGUGCUAUAGUUGAACGGCAAAGCGUAAUGCCCUAAUGGGCACCAUAAAUGGACUAUUUCAAAUGUCUGUCUCAGGCUCUUGCUACAUGUGCUUGUAAGUGUAAUCUAGGGUUGUAGUUCAGCCAUAGUCUUCAAAUCAUAAUUUGAAUUGCAAAAGCAAUUGAAGGGCACCUUGGUCUACAGCGGUAUCUCUGGCAUGGCUUGCCUAGGUUUGUUAAACAUUUGUUUCAACUGAUAGAGGUUUAUGUGCACACUGUGCACCAUUGACAUGAGUUAUCAAAAAAACCCAACCCCCAACCAAAAAACUAACAAAGCCACAUAUCUUACAUAUUAAAUAUUUCAUUCAUUGUUUACAAACUACAAUAGUUGGAAAAGAUACACAAUCCAAAAAUAGAUAUUUUACAGUAAUUCACAUUUUAAAAACACAUUUACAGUAAAAUUUCACAUCUGUGCUUCUUACUCCAUAAUGCACUUCAGUGCUUCUUAUCUCGCUGAUUUUUCUUCGCUGAUGCUAG